UACGUAGGGUCCGAGCGUUGUCCGGAAUUAUUGGGCGUAAAGGGCUCGUAGGCGGCCAACUAAGUCAGACGUGAAAUCCCCAGGCUCAACCUGGGAACUGCGUCUGAUACUGGAUGGCUUGAAUCCGGGAGAGGGAUGCAGAAUUCCAGGUGUAGCGGUGAAAUGCGUAGAUAUCUGGAGGAAUACCGGUGGCGAAGGCGGCAUCCUGGACCGGCAUUGACGCUGAGGAGCGAAAGCCAGGGGAGCAAACGGG
rnacentral:rRNA from 1 species